GACGAACGCUGGCGGCGUGCUUAACACAUGCAAGUCGAACGGAAAGGCCCUGCUUGCAGGGUACUCGAGUGGCGAACGGGUGAGUAACACGUGGGUGAUCUGCCCUGCACUUCGGGAUAAGCUUGGGAAACUGGGUCUAAUACCGGAUAGGAACCAUCUUGAGUGUGGUGGUUGGAAAGUUUUUUCGGUGUAGGAUGAGCUCGCGGCCUAUCAGCUUGUUGGUGGGGUAAUGGCCUACCAAGGCGGCGACGGGUAGCCGGCCUGAGAGGGUGUACGGCCACAUUGGGACUGAGAUACGGCCCAGACUCCUACGGGAGGCAGCAGUGGGGAAUAUUGCACAAUGGGCGCAAGCCUGAUGCAGCGACGCCGCGUGGGGGAUGAAGGCCUUCGGGUUGUAAACUCCUUUCGCUAGGGACGAAGCUUUGUUGUGACGGUACCUAGAUAAGAAGCACCGGCUAACUACGUG
rnacentral:rRNA from 1 species